rnacentral:tRNA from 1 species
GCCUUCGUGGUGUAGUGGUCAGCACACUGGACGUAUAAGAGAGAGCUCCGUGGUUCGAUUCCCGGCGAAGGAG